GGAGAUUUAGCUCAGCGGCAUAAGCGCCUGCCUUGCAAGCAGGCAGUCCUGAGUUCAAUCCCCAGUACCG
rnacentral:tRNA from 1 species